rnacentral:rRNA from 1 species
UGGGGAAUAUUGCACAAUGGGCGCAAGCCUGAUGCAGCCAUGCCGCGUGUGUGAAGAAGGCCUUCGGGUUGUAAAGCACUUUCAGCGGGGAGGAAGGCGGUGAGGUUAAUAACCUCAUCGAUUGACGUUACCCGCAGAAGAAGCACCGGCUAACUCCGUGCCAGCAGCCGCGGUAAUACGGAGGGUGCAAGCGUUAAUCGGAAUUACUGGGCGUAAAGCGCACGCAGGCGGUCUGUCACGUCGGAUGUGAAAUCCCCGGGCUCAACCUGGGAACUGCAUUCGAAACUGGCAGGCUAGAGUCUUGUAGAGGGGGGUAGAAUUCCAGGUGUAGCGGUGAGAUGCGUAGAGAUCUGGAGGAAUACCGGUGGCGAAGGCGGCCCCCUGGACAAAGACUGACGCUCAGGUGCGAAAGCGUGGGGAGCAAACAGG